CAAUAGCGUAUAUUAAAGUUGUUGCAGUUAAAAAGCUCGUAGUUGAAUUUUUGCUUGCCGCCGAUGUCGGAACUUCCGUACGUUCGGCGGCGUGCAUCCUUGGGUGGAACCUGUGUGGCAUUAGGUUGUCGUGCAGGGGAUGCUCAUCGUUUACUGUGAAAAAAUUAGAGUGUUCAAAGCAGGCUUACGCCGUUGAAUAUAUUAGCAUGGAAUAAUAAGAUAGGACCUUGGUACUAUUUUGUUGGUUUGCGCACCGAGGUAAUGAUUAACAGGGACAGUUUGGGGUAUUCGUAUUCCAUUGUCAGAGGUGAAAUUCUUGGAUUUCUGGAAGACGAACUACUGCGAAAGCAUUUACCAAGGAUGUUUUCAUUAA
rnacentral:rRNA from 1 species